rnacentral:rRNA from 1 species
AUGGACGAUCUACUCUGUCCGCCUUCCUCUUUCCUUCCACCCACGUCGUCCUCCCAAUUUUGCACCGUGGGCCAUCAGGUACUCGAGUUCGUGUCCCAGGAUCUUCCCGAACAAUGGCUGUUCCACGACGGCAUGAUGUCCAAGAACGUGGACGGGGAGCUGUGGCCUAUGGGGAGCACGCUCCCCCGUAGCCCUCAGCUCUCCGAGCUACCGCCGCCGAGCCUCCUGCUUGCAAAUCCGCAGUGCCAUGCGAAGCGGCGAGGCCGGAAACCCGGGCCACGCUCUGACGGUCGCCACAGCGUCGGCCAUGUGCAGGCCGAGCGGCAGCGCCGCGACAAACUGAACCGUCGAUUUUGCGACCUCCGCGCUGUCGUCCCCAACGUGUCCCGUAUGGACAAGGCAUCACUCCUGGCUGACGCCGCCACCUACAUCGCGGAGCUGCGCUCCCGCGUAGCGUCCCUCGAGGAGGAGACCAACAAGGCAUUGGAGGAAAGCCCAACGGCCGCUUCUCGCGGUGGUCCGGCUUCCAAGUUCCUGCAGGUGGAUGAAACGGUGGAGGUGCGGAUGAUGGGACGUGACGCGGCCGCGGUGGUAUGA